GGACGAACGCUGGCGGCGUGCUUAACACAUGCACGUCGAACGGAAAGGCCCUGCUUUUGUGGGGUGCUCGAGUGGCGAACGGGUGAGUAACACGUGAGUAACCUGCCCUUGACUUUGGGAUAACUUCAGGAAACUGGGGCUAAUACCGGAUAGGAGCUCCUGCUGCAUGGUGGGGGUUGGAAAGUUUCGGCGGUUGGGGAUGGACUCGCGGCUUAUCAGCUUGUUGGUGGGGUAGUGGCUUACCAAGGCUUUGACGGGUAGCCGGCCUGAGAGGGUGACCGGCCACAUUGGGACUGAGAUACGGCCCAGACUCCUACGGGAGGCAGCAGUGGGGAAUAUUGCACAAUGGGCGGAAGCCUGAUGCAGCAACGCCGCGUGCGGGAUGACGGCCUUCGGGUUGUAAACCGCUUUCGCCUGUGACGAAGCGUGAGUGACGGUAAUGGGUAAAGAAGCACCGGCUAACUACGUG
rnacentral:rRNA from 1 species